rnacentral:rRNA from 1 species
ACUGAGCAAUAACAGGUCUGUGAUGCCCUUAGAUGUCCUGGGCCGCACGCGCGCUACACUGAAGGAAUCAGCGUGUCAUCCCUGGCCGACAGGCCCGGGUAACCCGUUGAACCUGCUUCGUGCUAGGGAUUGGGGCUUGCAAUUGUUCUCCAUGAACGAGGAAUUCCCAGUAAGCGCGAGUCAUAAGCUCGCGUUGAUUACGUCCCUGCCCUUUGUACACACCGCCCGUCGCUACUACCGAUUGAAUGAUUUAGUGAGGUCUUCGGACUGGUGCGCGGCGAUCGGUUCCACCGGCCGCCGAUGA